UAUGCGCCCGGCUGUACACGGCGAUUGGCGGAACGUCCGUCGGGCAGCAAGAGCCGGUGUCCCUAGCCUCCUCCACUUGCCGUUGUCGACUACUCCCUAGCUAGGCUGGUGCCGUACCCGCCCAACGGUGGUUGCCGCGUACGACAGACCACAUGACGUGUCUCCUGUAAGAAUUACACUGGCACGAGGGGCAGCUCAACUCAACCCUCCAGAUUUAGAGCAGACCGGCGCG
rnacentral:lncRNA from 1 species